rnacentral:rRNA from 1 species
UGGGGAAUAUUGGACAAUGGGCGAAAGCCUGAUCCAGCAAUGCCGCGUGAGUGAUGAAGGCCUUAGGGUUGUAAAGCUCUUUCGCACGCGACGAUGAUGACGGUAGCGUGAGAAGAAGCCCCGGCUAACUUCGUGCCAGCAGCCGCGGUAAUACGAAGGGGGCUAGCGUUGUUCGGAAUUACUGGGCGUAAAGGGCGCGUAGGCGGCGUUCCAAGUCAGGCGUGAAAGCCCCGGGCUCAACUCGGGAACUGCGCUUGAUACUGGAAUGCUUGAGUUCGGGAGAGGUGAGUGGAAUUCCCAGUGUAGAGGUGAAAUUCGUAGAUAUUGGGAAGAACACCGGUGGCGAAGGCGGCUCACUGGACCGACACUGACGCUGAGGCGCGAAAGCGUGGGGAGCAAACAGGAUUAGAUACCCCCGUAGUCC